rnacentral:ncRNA from 1 species
GGUCAAGCGGGUGAAAGCACACGGUGGAUGCCUUGGCAUCAAGGGCCGAUGAAGGGCGUAGUACGGCUACGAUAAGCCCCGGUUAGCUGCCAAGCAAGCUUAACCGAGGAUUCCCGAAUGGGGCAACCCAUCCCGAUGAACUCGGGAUACCCCCGGCCGAACACAUAGGCCGGGUGGAGGUAAGCGGGGGAAGUGAAACAUCUCAGUACCUCGAGGAAAAGAAAACAUUCCCGGAGUAGUGGCGAACGAAAUGGGAACAGCCUAAACUCUAUAAGCUUAGUGGUUCUGAGACCUAUGCGUAUAGGGAGUCGUAAGACAGGAAUGACCGAACUUAGAAUAAGUCAAGGAGUUACCAACCGAACUCUAGUCAAAGGCCUCUGGAAAGAGCCGCCAUAGCGGGUGACAGCCCCGUAGACGAAAGAGGUAGGCUCCUAACCUGUUCUUGAGUACCACGGGACACGAGAAAUCUUGUGGGAAGCUGCCCUGACCACAGGGCAAGGCUAAAUACCCUUGAUGACCGAUAGUGAACUAGUACCGUGAGGGAAAGGUGAAAAACACCCCGAGAGGGGAGUGAAAUAGAUCUGAAACCGUGUGCUGACAAGCAGUCAGAGCCCCGAUUUAUCGGGGUAAUGGCGUGCCUAUUGAAGAAUGAGCCAGCGAGUUAAUCUACGUGGCUGGUUAAAUGAUUAAGUCAUGCAGCCAAAGCGAAAGCAAGUCUGAAUAGGGCGUUAUAGUCGCGUGGAUUAGACCCGAAGCCGGGUGAGCUAUCCAUGACCAGGGUGAAGCUCCGAUAAAAUCGGAGUGGAGGCCCGAACUGGUCAACGUUGCAAAGUUGUCAGAUGAGUUGUGGAUAGAGGUGAUAUGCCAAACGAACCCGGGGAUAGCUGGUUCUCCCCGAAAUGUAUUGAGGUACAGCCUCGGAUGGUCACUGAUGGAGGUAGGGCUCUGGAUGGAUUAGGGGGAUAACAUCUUACCAACUCCAACUAAACCGCAAAUACCAUCAGUCAAAGUCCGGGAGUGAGACUACGGGGGAUAAGCUCCGUGGUCGAGAGGGAAACAGCCCAGACCAUCAGCUAAGGUCCCUAAGAACAGACUAAGUGGCAAAGGAAGUAGGACUGCCCAGACAGCCAGGAGGUUGGCUCAGAAGCAGCCACCCUUUAAAGAGUGCGUAACAGCUCACUGGUUAAGUGGUGCUGCGCCGAUAAUCCAACGGGGCUCAAGUCUGUCACCGAAGCUAUGGCUUUUUUCCCGAUUCGUCGGGAAGAGAGGGUAGGGGAGCGUUCUCUUCGCCGAGAAGUCGUUGCGUGAGCAACGGUGGAGCGGAGAGAAGUGAGAAUGCUGGCAUGAGUAGCGCUAGGUGUGUGAGAAACACAUCCAUCGAAUAUCUGAGGUUUCCUAUGCAAGGUUAAUCCGCAUAGGGUUAGUCGGGCCUAAGCCGAGGCCGAGAGGCGUAGGCGAUGGACAACGGGUUAUUAUUCCCGUACCGUUUUUACGGAGGUAAAGGGGGGACGCGGGAGGGUAAGCUAGGCAUACCCAUUGGACAUGGUGUGUCAACCAUCGUAGGUAAUGCCGGAGCAGGCAAAUCCACUCCGGAUAUUAAGCUGAAAAUGGGAGAGAGUUGAGGGGAGACCCAAGGCGAUUUAGCCCACCCCACGCCGCCAAGAAAAUCCUCGUUACCGUUGAAGUAAGAACGCCCGUACCGCAAACCGACUCUGGUAGAUAGGGAUAAGUGUCCCAAGGUGAUCGAGAUAACCCUCGUUAAGGAACUCGGCAAUCUAACCCCGUAACUUAGGGAAAAGGGGUGCCCUUUUUUUUAGAAGGGUGACAUUAAAUUGGUCCAAGUAACUGUUUAACAAAAACACAGGUCUGUGCUAAAGGCGUAAGCCGAUGUAUACAGGCUGAUACCUGCCCAGCGCCAGUAGGUUAAGGGGAGAAGUCAUCGCAAGAGAAGCCUUGAACCGAAGCCCUGGUAAGCGGCGGCCGUAACUAUAACGGUCCUAAGGUAGCGAAGUCCCUUGUCGGGUAAGUUCCGACCCGCACGAAUGGUGUAAUAACUUGGACGCUGUCUCAACGAGGGGCUCGGCGAAAUUGAAGUACCCGUGAAGAUGCGGGUUACCCGCGACAGGACAAAAAGACCCCGUGGAGCUUUACUACAACUUGUCACUGAGCCUGGACUUACCAUGUGUAGCAUAGGUGGGAGGCUUUGAAGCCGGGGCGCUAGCCUCGGUGGAGCCAACAUUGAAAUACCACUCUUGGUGAGUUUAGUCUCUAACCCCGGAUCAAGCCGGGGGACAGUGGCUGGCGGGUAGUUUGACUGGGGCGGUCGCCUCCUAAAUUGUAACG